CAAAUCAAGCUUAUUAGUUAAGAUUUUCAUUUACACUGAAAUUGAUGUCGUGCAAAUCGAUAUGAUUUGA
rnacentral:tRNA from 2 species